rnacentral:rRNA from 1 species
GGCGCUGGUGGGAUACUACCCUAGCUGUGUUGGCUUUCUAACCCGCACCACUUAUCGUGGUGGGAGACAGUGUCAGGCGGGCAGUUUGACUGGGGCGGUCGCCUCCUAAAAGGUAACGGAGGCGCUCCAAGGUUCCCUCAGAAUGGUUGGAAAUCAUUCAUAGAGUGUAAAGGCAUAAGGGAGCUUGACUGCGAGACCUACAA